rnacentral:rRNA from 1 species
UACGAAGGGGGCUAGCGUUGCUCGGAAUCACUGGGCGUAAAUGGUGCGUAGGCGGGUCUUUAAGUCAGGGGUGAAAUCCUGGAGCUCAACUCCAGAACUGCCUUUGAUACUGAAGAUCUUGAGUUCGGGAGAGGUGAGUGGAACUGCGAGUGUAGAGGUGAAAUUCGUAGAUAUUCGCAAGAACACCAGUGGCGAAGGCGGCUCACUGGCCCGAUACUGACGCUGAGGCACGAAAGCGUGGGGAGCAAACAGG